ACUGCUCCUUCUGGGAGUGCCAAUAUGGCCGACCGGUGUCUCCAUAGCACUGAGGUAUAAGCCUCUCAUAGCUCAGCAUUCCAGGGUUUAUAUACAGCUCCACGGUGGAGGUGUCAUAAUACCUGAGGCUCCCGAAUGGCGCAGUGGUCUAAGGCACUGCAUCUCAGUGCUGGAGGCGUCACUACAGACACCCUGGUUUGAAUCCAGGCUCUAUCACAACCAGCUGUGAUCGGGAGUUCUAUAGGGUGGCGCGCAAUUGGUCCGGCGUUGGCCAGUGUAGGCCGUCAUUGUAAAUAAGAAUUUGUUCUUAACUGACUUGCCUAGUUAAAUAAAGGUUAAAUACUUUUUUUAAUUUAUUUUUUACAUAAAACCAAGUGGUCAAACAGGGAAAUGGUUCCAAUCAUUUUCCACCAUUCAUUUUAGAAACACUUAAAAUAGCUUACCCUGGCGUGACGUUUUGAUAACCAUGUAAGUCUCUAUCAGACAAGGUGACUUUUAUCAAUAUAUUCGACUCUAUUUACUUUCAGAUUCGAAAACGCUAAUUUAGCUAAUUUUCAUCAAAGUAGACAUGCAAAACUAUAAAUCCCUGCAAGCUCCUGCAUUUCAUCUCUAGCUGACACCUAACUAAAAGGAAUUGUGUCAAUUUAAAACUUGCACAAGACAGUUCACAGAAUUGUCAAUUUAAAGAAAUGUUGCACAUUUAUUCAUAACUACAUUUAGAUAACAAAGUUAAUCCAGAGAUGUUUUUACUUUUGCCUCGAUUCGGCAGUCUCGUCCAGAUCAUCAUGGCAUUUGUAUUUCUUUAUGAUAGCCACAUUAGCAGCUAAUUAGCAUUUACAUUUUGGGGGGUAAAUACAGGCGAAUAUAUUGAUAAAAGUUACCUUGUCCAAGAGGGAUUUACAUGGUUAUCAAAACGUCACACCACAGUAAGCCUACACAGCCCUUAUUUUAAGUGUUUCUAAAAUCUUCUACGGGAAAAAUGAAUGGUGUAAAAACGAUUGGAACCAUUUCCCUGUUUGACCACUAGGUUUUAU
ensembl:lncRNA